rfam:Ovis aries breed Texel chromosome 3, whole genome shotgun sequence.
UCCCUGAUGGUUCAGUGGUUAGGACUCAGGGCUAUCACUGUUGUGGGCCUGGAUUUAAUUCCUGGUCAGGGAA